GCCCUUGGCAACAGGUCAACCUGUUUCCAUGGCUCCUCCUGGCCCUGGCAUCAGCUGACUUUUUCUAGACGCAUCCCUCCUGGCUCAAGUGUCCUCCUCAGCCGCCCACUGCCCUCGUCUAAAACGGGAGACCCUUUGCAACCCGGUACCAGGAGAAGCAUGUUCUAGGCACAGAGCAGUUGGCGCUCACCAGGUAUUUGCCAGAUGGAAAUGAGCUGUACCUGAGAAAUCUGGGGAUCCAGGUGAAGUCUGUCUGUGGUCCCUCGUACUACCUGUGUAAUCUAUACCCUACUGC